CACUAGAGGCUGGAUUAACCAGAUUAUAAACAUAGUUUCUUUGAAACUGCUAUGUUUAUAAAAAAGGGUUAAUCCUAGAUGGACCUGACACCCAGACCACCUCAUUAAGCUGAAGUGGUCUGGGUGCCUAGAGUGAUCCUUUAAAAAACAUUCCAGUUUUAGACUGUUAUUUUCCCUGUUUAAAUCUGUCUAGUUUGCAAUUAGCCAGAAAAAGGGGUGUUACACUGCAGAAAGUCACAUCGCUAUAAAAGGUUUAAAUGCAGC